AGGUCCUUUCAAAGAUGACAAGAGGUCGGCAUGGUUACCGUACUGAUAAGUACAAAUACAUACAAGUAAAAGUUGCUUAAACUAUUACUUAACUUAAUGUACUGGAGUAUCUACCUUUAAAAACACACAAAUAUUCAAAAAAGAAUCUCUAAACAUAUUUUUACACUGCAUGACUACAUCCUUCAUGUAAAGUGGGACAGACUUCUGUAGGUCCGGCUGACACCUAGCCCCUCACACCUGUUUCAGACUACACUGGAGCACUAUUGUAUCCCAUUAGUCUGCACACUAAACAGCAUCUUACUGUAUUUUUUCAGAACAUCUCUGAUACAAAAAAAAGGUUAAAGUUGUAUUUUAAGAGACAAAGUGCAUCACAACUCUUCCAGCCUACCUUUCUAUUCCAAAGACAGAGCCUUCAUACAAACACAAGAUGGCACUGUAGGACUGUUCUAGUGUCCCCCUAAUGUUUUUCCCCAUUCAUAGCCCUCUAACUGUUAUUAUGUAAGUUAAAUUUGCAGUAAGCAUUCAUCAUUAGCUGGUGCUUUAUGGUAAAUUAUACAAUCAUUUAAAAUUACUUCUAUAACAGCAGCUUCACUUUGAAUGAUCACCAGAUUGAGAAAACCUGAUUCAUUCAGAAGGAGAGGAAAAACACUUUAUUAGGUUAUUUAUCAUUAAUGUAAAUAAGGUUUUGGCUUUAAUCCUAUUUUUUCUGAUUAUUUUUGCAUGUCAACAGAUCAAAUGAUCAUUUUAACCUUUUCUAAACCUCUCCAAAUCCGAUCUUUUUUAGUUAUUCUUUGAUAUAAAACCAAAUCCUCUGUUAUUUGUCACUUCUGAGCUGACUGUUGUUUUUUAAGGAAUUAAUGUGAGGGGGUGGGUGGAGGGAAAAAAAAUCCCUUUACUGGUUUAAAGCACAUAAAAACAACUGGCUGAAUAGCUCCGCCAUGCAAGUUAUUCACCAGUUAAGUUAAAUAAGCCUCACAGCUACUGUCACAGGCCAUUAUGUGGGGAGCAGGCGAGACAGCUAAACACCACUUCCACACAAUUUAGAUGCAAUAAAACACUGACAGCUUUUUUAUCCACUUCAUUAAGCCAGUAAUUUCUUAUAAAAAUCUCCCGCAUUAAUCCUGGCCAUGGUUUCCCUGCGGUUCCUUAAGCUCUCCUCCAACCUUAGCUGCCUUGCUUUGAUGCUUACUCAAAUAGGCGCUAAUUUGAGAUAAAUUAUGCAUCCCCAUGUAGCCAACCCAUGCCAAGGAAUAUAAAGUGUGACAUCCUGAAAGAUGGUGAAUUAAAGCAAAGUGUGAUAUCUCCUCGGCCUAAUGGCAGAUAGGUUAGGCCUGUCAGCCUGAUGGUUUGUUGAUCCAAAAGUCACUUCAUAUUCAGAGAAGGGGAGAGGUCCUGUUUACGUUGUUUUGAAGGUUAUCUGGACUCAGGCCUGAUUUUUGUUUGAGAUCAGAGUGGACAUAACCGGACUGCUCUGGGCCUUCAAAGGGGUCACACAAAGAAGAUAUCCAGCUGUUGUUUUACUGUCUCUUGUUUUUAAAAAAAUAAGAAAUUCAAGACAAGUUGUUGUGAUAUCAUGACAGAAAAUUUAGAGUUACAGCAGUAGUGAAUAAAAUGCACCAAAAAGUGUAUCGACCCAUGUUUGAUUUGCUCUAGAUUUAGUGUAAAACAUGUUAACCCUCUGGAGUCUGCAGUAUAAUUGGUCGUUUUUAGCUACUUUUGAUUUUACCUUUAUAUUUCCCCUUAAAAACGGUUUACCUUGCCUUGC